CUGAUGGAUUCCUGUCUCACGUUGAGAUCUCCUCUGAAAUUCACAAUCAGCCAUUUGGAUGUCUGACACAUCAUUUGCCCAGUACAUCAUGCCUUCUGCUAAGCUUUCCAACCAUUGGAGCAACAUGUCUAUAUGACAUGAUACUUUAUAUGGAAAACCGAG